GAGUUUGGAUUUCACACAGAGAUGCUAAUAGGAUCUGCCUCAACGCCAAUCCCAGAGAAAAGCCUUCAGCCAGAGGAAGACGUCCAUCAGAGCUCUCAUCCGGCGGACUGGGAGGCUGCAGGAACAGAUCUGGGUCAGGGUUGGUGUGUCAGAGGUGCAGCAUAUCUGCUCCUGCCAGGCUGGUCUGCAUGACUUUCACAAAUUUAGAUCUGAAAAUUCUUCAAAUUUUUAGUUAUUUUAAAUUUAGUCUUUCCUUUGAUGUCCUGUGAAGACAUCUUUCUGAUCAAAUUGUGCUUCUUAAAUCCACCCAGAGUUCUGGUCCUGUGGGCCGGACUGCAGCCUUGUGGAAGAACUGGAUCCUCUGUCGCCGCUGCUCCCCCGCUCAGCUUCCACCUGCAGCGGCGCUGACGAAGAGAAGAAAGAUGAGAGACAACAUUUAGAUUGUUCAGAAACAUACUAAAUGACCCUUCAUCAUCAUCAUCAUCACUUCAGUCCUGGUCGAAGCCGCAGAAAUCAAACAUGUUGUUAGUUUGAUGUUUUGUUGGCACGAAAAGGAUGAAAGUUAACAUUGCAGAGAAUGAAAAUGCUUCCACCUGCAGAGACGAUAUGAAAGCAACGGGACGCCUGCUGGAGACUUGGUGGGUCCAACGGAGCCAAACCACCUCCAUGUUUUUGGGACUGGCAGGUAAUAAAACCAUAUUGGGAAAAGUUCCACAAACACAUUGAAAAUAUAUUUAAUGUAAAAAUUCCAUUCAAAUGUGAAUCUUUGUAUCUGGGCAACUUACAGUUGGACACAUGGACCAACAAAGACUAAAAACUGCUGGUUAUACUGGCAGCCAGUAAGAAAUCCAUCACCAGGAAAUGGCUUCAACUGGAUCCACCCACCAUCGACGAAUGGAUUGAAAUUGUUUACCAGAUUUAUCUUAUGGAAAAGAUUUAUUUUUCCCUCCAAGUUGAAAAAGGAAAGUUUUAUAAGAUCAGGACCAAAUGGACUGAGUAUGUAAAACCAAUUGGAUCCGACUUCAGUUGACUGUACUUUGAAUUAUGUGCCCUGCACUUUUAUGUUCUUGUGGUUUUUAUUGAUGGAGAUGGUGCACUCCCCUUUAUUGUUCAAUUCUGUUCACUUUUGUUAUUUUUCACAACAAAAAUUAGUAAUAAUCUGUAAAAGAAAAUACCAGAAAGGCAGUAUGGACAAAAUCACUUGGACUCUCUGGUUGUAAACUCAUGUAUGAUCUUAAAUGGGUAAAGCUGUAAUUAACGAAUGUGAUGGGAAUCUGUCUUUCUAAAUAAAAAAAUAAUU